rnacentral:rRNA from 1 species
UACGGAGGGGGCUAGCGUUGUUCGGAAUUACUGGGCGUAAAGCGCACGUAGGCGGCUUUGUAAGUUAGAGGUGAAAGCCCAGGGCUUAACCCUGGAAUUGCCUUUAAGACUGCAUCGCUAGAAUUGUGGAGAGGUAAGUGGAAUUCCGAGUGUAGAGGUGAAAUUCGUAGAUAUUCGGAAGAACACCAGUGGCGAAGGCGGACUUACUGGA